rnacentral:lncRNA from 1 species
AAAAAAAAAUCCAGGUUGUGCAGCUUGUUCUAUUAACAUCUGGGAGAAGAGCUGUUCCCACAUCAGGCACAGCAGCUGCAGUUCUCCAACGUCCCUUUGCAGACACAGCCGUGGGCACACUUGGCACAGCCCACGGGGCAGCAGGAGCAGCAGCCUGGGGAAGAAGGGGAGAGAGAGGUAGCAGUAGACUUGACCGGGCACCGCCCUGCCCCAAUAGCAAGCCUGGCUGGAGCUCAGAACCCAGACCCAGAGGAAGCUUUUUACGUCUGGCACAGCUCUGUUCUGAAACCAUAGAUGCUACAGUUGGGAUUUGUGUCCCAAGAGAAAAAUGCUGUCCUGCCCCAUCUGAAUUUAGGGCAGAAAGCCUGGAGAGG